UAUUAUGUUAGGAAAAAAUAUUGUAUCACCACCACUCUGAAUAAAAUAAUAAAAUACAUACAGUGAAUAACUUUGAAUUUAAAUAAAAAUCAAUUAUAAAUUCAUUGUAUACUAAUUUAAUAAACUUGAUGAUUUAAAAUUUUAUUUAAAUUUCUUACGCAUAAAAUAACUUAUCCAAUAAAUAACAACUCAUAAAAGUUAUUGAGACAAAUAUUUAUAGUUUAAAUACCUUAAAAUUUUG
rnacentral:lncRNA from 1 species